GGAAUAUUGCACAAUGGACGAAAGUCUGAUGCAGCGACGCCGCGUGGGUGAUGAAGGCCUUCGGGUCGUAAAGCCCUUUUCUUGGUGACGAGUAAGGACGGUAGCCAAGGAAUAAGUGUCGGCUAACUACGUGCCAGCACCCGCGGUAAAACGUAGGACGCAAGCGUGAUCCGGAAUUGCAGGGCGUAAAGCGCGCGAAGGCGGGCGCGCAAGUCAGUCGUGAAAGCUCCCGGCUAAACUGGGAGAGGUCGGCUGAGACUGCGUGUCUUGAGGGUGGUAGAGGCGUGUGGAAUUCCGCGUGUAGUGGUGAAAUGCGUAGAUAUGCGGAGGAACACCAGUGGCGAAGGCGGCACGCCGGGCCACACCUGACGCUGAGGCGCGAAAGCAUGGGGAGCGAAC
rnacentral:rRNA from 1 species